UACGUAUGGUGCAAGCGUUAUCCGGAUUUACUGGGUGUAAAGGGAGCGCAGGCGGUUCUGCAAGUCUGAUGUGAAAGCCCGGGGCUCAACCGCGGGACUGCAUUGGAAACUGCGGGACUGGAGUGUCGGAGGGGUAAGCGGAAUUCCUGGUGUAGCGGUGAAAUGCGUAGAUAUCAGGAGGAACACCGGUGGCGAAGGCGGCUUACUGGACGAUGACUGACGCUGAGGCUCGAAAGCGUGGGGAGCAAACAGG
rnacentral:rRNA from 1 species